GUGAGCUGCAAAUGAAUGAAGGGACACUGAGAGCUGCAGCGUCCUCCUUGCAUUGCUUUGCUUUGCUUUGCUUUGACAUGACAGGACUAUAACUAAAAAAAAAUCUUUCUGGCUGGAAUUGAAAACGUUGGAUUAUUUUGGGGCAUUUUGGCUUUCAUCAAACCACCCAGGAUUUAUUAUUCUCCCUGGAAGUUGCUGCAAGUGGAUGAUUAUUUUUUUGUUGAAAUUGUUUCGGAGGAUUAAAUCCGGUGCGAGUGUUUCGUUGUGAGCGAUUUAAGGGUUUGUUUCGGAAGAUUAAGAAAAAAAAUGUGAUUCAGCGUCCGAUGCUGUGGCGGAGCUCAGUGGGUCCAAACAGCUGUGUCGUGUCGAGACAUUCGUGGAUUAACCUUUCUUUUCCCUCCCCCUACCUCCUUGACAAUCUCCGUCAAAAAAAAGAAAAAAACAGCAGCCUUGCGCCAAAAUGCGGCUCUUUUUAAUGCAAUCAACCACAUGAGUGGAGCCAAAACAAACACUGCUAUAAUUACACCCACCACCACCCCCUCUUUUUUCCCAUAUCUGCUGAAAUAAUCCCGCUGGAAAAUAUGGAAAGUGAGGUUUUUACUCCUCUGCUGGAGCACUUCAUGCUGUCGCCUCUGGUCUGCUGGGUGAAGACUGCAGGGCAAUCCAAAGUGAAAGAUGGCAACAAACUAUCAGAAUAUGUGGAAUUAGUGGAUGGAGUCUACCUCAAUGAGGUCAUGCUGGAGAUAAACCCCAAGGCCACGGUGCAGAGGACCAACAAGAAGGUGAACAACGACCCCACGCUGCGCAUCCAGAACCUUUCCAUUCUCAUCCGGCAGAUCAAAGCUUACUAUCAGGAGACGCUCCAGCAGCUGGUGAUGAUGCCCCUUCCUAAUGUGCUGGUCCUGGGCCGCCACCCCCUCACUGAGCGAGGUCUGGAGGAGGUGAAGAAACUGCUGCUGCUGCUGCUUGGCUGUGCUGUUCAGUGUGAGAAGAAGGAAGACUACAUUGAACGCAUCCAGACUCUGAAUUUCGACACCAAAGCAGCCAUAGCGUCCCACAUCCAAGAAGUGACGCACAACCAAGAGAACGUAGUGGACCUACAGUGGUUGGAGAGUGGGGAAAUGCCUCCUGACGACCUGGAGAACCUGUCCAGGAACCUGGCCCUUCACCUCAAACAUGUGGUGGAUGAACGCGACACGCAGCUGGAGACUAUCGUGGAGCUAACCCAGGAGAGAGACUGUGUGCAGCUGUCCCCGCUGGGUCCCGGUCCGGCCCAGUCCCCCAACGGCUCCCCUAGCAUGAGGAGGACGGAGAGCCGGCAGCACCUCUCUGUGGAACUGGCCGAUGCCAAGGCCAAGAUUCGACGUCUGCGGCAGGAAUUAGAGGAAAAGAGCGAGCAGCUCCUAGACACCCGGCAGGAGCUGGAGAACAUGGAGGUGGAGCUCAAGAAGCUUCAGCAGGAGAGCUACCAGCUGCUGUCGGACGCCCGCUCGGCUCGGGCGUACCGCGACGAGCUGGACGCUCUUCGGGAGAAGGCCAUUCGUGUGGACAAACUGGAGAGCGAGCUGAGCCGCUACAAGGAGAGGCUUCACGACAUCGAGUUUUACAAGGCCAGAGUGGAGGAGCUGAAGGAGGACAAUCAGGUCCUGCUGGAGACCAAAACUAUGUUGGAGGAGCAACUGGACACCAGCCGAACCCGAUCAGACAAACUCCACCUCCUGGAGAAGGAGAAUCUGCAGCUGAAAUCCAAAAUGCAUGACUUGGAGAUGGAACGAGACUUGGACCGUAAGAAAAUGGAGGAGCUGUUGGAGGACAACCUUGUGCUUGAGAUGGCCCAGAAACAGAGCAUGGAUGAGUCUUUGCACCUGGGCUGGGAGCUGGAACAACUGUCCAAAACGCCAGAAUUGACUGAAGCCCCGCAGAAGUCUCUUGGCGAGGAGGUGAACGAGCUGACCUCCAGCCGUCUGCUGAAGCUGGAGAAGGACAACCAGACCUUGCUGAAGACGGUGGAGGAGCUCCGAGGAGCUGCCAGUCACGACAAACAGGGCAAAGUCGGCCAGGAGAACCAGAGACUCAACCAAAAACUGGAGCAGCUGGAAAGCGAACUGGCGGCCGAAAGAGAGUCGCUCCGCAGUGCCGAGUGUCUGAGUACUGACCUGAUGAAAGAGAAGGCCUUGCUGGAGAAGACUCUGGAAACCCUCAGAGAAAACUCAGAGAGACAGCUGAAAGGUCUGGAACAGGAGAACAAGCACCUUAGCCAGACAGUGUCGUCACUGCGUCAGCGCUGCCAGGUUGGCGCUGAGGCUCGGGUUAAGGACGUGGAGAAAGAAAACCGCAUCCUCCAUGAGUCCAUCUGCGAGACAACAGGCAAACUCAACAAAAUGGAGUUUGAACGGAAACAACUACGUAAAGAACUGGAAGCCAUGAAGGAGAAAGGCGAGAGAGCGGAGGAGUUGGAGAUUGUGAUGCAGAAGCUGGAAAAGGAUAACGAAAGUUUGCAGAAGAAGGUGGCCAGCUUAGGAAUCACCUGUGACAAGGUUUCUUCAUUAGAGAAGGAGAACACCGAGCUUGAGACAGAAGGCCGCCGACUCAAGAAGAAGCUGGACGCUCUCAAGAACAUGGCCUUCCAGCUGGAGGCGCUGGAGAAGGAGAACUCCCAGUUGGAGCAGGAGAACUUGGAGCUGCGGCGCUCGGCCGAGAGCUUCCGCUCAGCCGGCACCAAGGCGAUUCAGCUGGAGGCCGAGAACAGGGAGCUGGAGAGUGAAAGGAGCCAGCUGAAGCGCAGCCUGGAGCUCCUCAAAGCAACCUCCAAGAAGACCGAGAGAUUAGAGGUGAGCUACCAGGGCUUGGAUACGGAGAACCAGCGUUUACAGAAGGCGUUAGAGAACAGCAGCAAGAAGAUCCAGCAAUUGGAGGCGGAGCUGCAGGAAGUCGAGUCUGAGAACCAAACCCUUCAACGUAACCUGGAGGAGCUGAAGAUCUCCAGCAAGCGCCUGGAGCAGCUGGAGCAGGAGAACAAGACGUUGGAGCAGGAGAGCUCCCAGCUCGAGAAGGACAAGAAGCUCCUGGAGAAGGAGAACAAGCGGCUGAGGCAGCAGGCCGAGAUCCGGGACUCCAAGCUGGAUGACAGCAACCAGCGCAUCUCUAGUUUGGAGAAGGAGAACCGCACCAUGGGCAAGGAGAUGAUAUUUUUCAGGGACUCGUGCACUCGGGUCAAAGACCUGGAACGGGAGAACAAGGAGCUGGUCAAACAAGCCACCAUCGAUAAGAAGACCUUCAUCACGCUCAGAGAGGAGUUGGUGAGCGAGAAGCUACGCACUCAGCAGACCAACAACGACCUGGAAAAACUCACCCACGAGUUGGAGAAGAUUGGGCUGAACAAGGAGCGGCUGCUGCUCGACGAGCACUCUGACGAUAGAUUUAAGCUCCUGGAAAGCAAACUGGAGUCGACUCUGAAGUCCUCGUUAGAGAUCAAAGAAGAGAAGAUCGCCGCCCUGGAGGCCAGACUGCAGGAGUCGUCUAACCUUAAUCAGCAACUUCGGCAGGAGCUCAAGACAGUGAAAAAGAACUAUGAGGCUUUGCGGCAGAGGGAGGAGGAGGAGAGGAUGGUCCAGAGCUCGCCUCCUAGAGGAGGGGAGGACCCACAGGCUGUCAGUAAAUGGGAGAAGGAGAGUCACGAGGCUACCAGAGAGCUGCUGAAGGUCAAGGACAGACUCAUAGAGGUGGAGCGGAACAAUGCCACGCUGCAGGCUGAGAAAGCGGCGCUGAGGAGCCAGCUCAAACAACUGGAGACGCAGAGCUCCAACCUGCAGGCUCAGAUUGUGGCCGUGCAGAGACAGACAGCCUCCCUGCAGGAGAACAACACCACCCUGCAGACACAGAACGCCAAGCUGCAGGUGGAGAACUCCACCCUGAGCUCGCAGGGCACCACUCUCAUGGCCCAGAAUGCUCAGCUCCAGAGCCUGCAGAGCAGCAUGGAGGGCGAGCGCGAAGGGGCGCUGAGGGAGAAGGAGGAGCUCCGAUCCACUUACGAGCUCCUCCUCCGCGACCACGAGAAGCUGGCAGCGCUCCACGAGAGGCAGGCGGCAGAGUAUGAGGCCCUCAUCGGGAAGCACGGCGGCCUGAAGAGCUCUCACAAGAGUCUGGAGCAGCAGCACCGAGACCUGGAGGACAAGUACAAGCAGCUCCUUCAGAGGAAAGGAGAUCUGGAGGAGCUGGAGAAGAAUCUGAAGGAGCAACAAGACAAAAUGACCUUGGAGAACCAGAGCCACAGAGCCACAGCCAACCAAUGUAAACUGCUCAAAGACGAAAAUGACAGACUAAACACAACAUACCACCAGUUACUGAAGGACAACGAGAGCCUCCAAGUGGAUCACAAGAACAUCAAGAGUCAGCUGAAUGGCGCCAAGCUGGAGCAGACCAGACUGGAGGCUGAGUUCUCCAAGCUAAAGGAGCAGUACCAGCAGCUGGACAUCACCUCCACCAAGCUGACCAACCAGUGUGAGCUGUUGAGCCAGCUGAAGGGCAACCUGGAGGAGGAGAAUCGUCACCUGCUGGACCAGAUCCAGACCCUGAUGCUUCAGAACCGCACCCUGCUGGAGCAGACCAUGGAGAGCAAAGACCUGUUCCAUGUAGAGCAGAGACAGUAUAUAGACAAGCUGAAUGAGCUGAGGAGACAGAAGGAGAAGCUGGAGGAGAAGAUCAUGGACCAGUACAAGUUCUACGACCCCUCACCUCCACGCAGGCGUGGCAACUGGAUCACUCUGAAGAUGAAGAAGCUGAUCAAGCCCAAAAGCCGGGAGAGGAUGCGCUCGAUCACGCUGACUCCGUCACGUUCUGAUUGCAGCGACGGUUUCCUGUCUUUCCCGCCCGACAGCCAGGACAGCUCAUCUAUCGGCUCCGGCUCCAACUCGCUGGAUGACACGCUCACGCAAAAGAGGAGCAGCAGGAGGAGAGGGCAGCGGUGCCUUGCCCAAGAGCAGGGCUCCACCAAUGCUUUAAAAAGGUUGCCUUUCAUGAGGAACAGAUCGAAGGACAAAGACAAGGCCAAGGCCAUCUACCGACGCUCCAUGUCCAUGAACGACCUGCUGCAAACUAUGGCGGUGGCCGGCGGGCCUGGCGCCGAAUGGGCUGGCAGCUCAGAGAACCUGGAUGGCGCUGAGGCGGGAGAUGUGGAAGGAGGGCGUCGGGGCGGCCAGCGCAUGAAAGAGCUGGCCUUUUCCACCAACGCCAUUGACUGUGCGGCGCUCACGCUGCCCUCUGCUGGACAUAGGAAGGCCAAACAGAGACUCCAGAUCAAAGAUAACGUCUCCUGUGAGGAUGUUGCCGCUUCCUCGGACGACCCAAAGAGUCAAGCCUCCAGACCCUCCAGUUUCCAUAGCAACAGGACCACCAGUAGUAAUAGUAACAAUAACUCCCAGCUCACCUCUCCCCUCGAGGGCAAAGGCACGUUGAACGGGAGCCUGAGUCGUCCUCACAGCGAGAGCAGCGGCGAGUUCAGCCUGAGUUUGGACCAGGAGGCGUGGUCCAGCAGCGGCAGCAGUCCCGUCCAGCAGCCUUCGUCCUCACGCUCCUCCCACCAGAGCCCGGUGCCCCCCCGCUGCACUCUGGAGCCACCGGGCACCGCCACGGGAAUCCCCGCUCCGCUUCAGAUCAGGAAGACGGCGUCCCCGGGCAGCGAGGUGCUUUCUCUGCAGCAGUUCCUUGACGAGGGCAUCGACCCUGCGGAGUCGGGCAGCCAGGAGAAUCUGACCGUGGACUCUCCUCGCCUCUCCACGUCUUCUGACCGCACCCCAAAAGAGCGCCCGACCACCAGAGGGCGUGGCAUCUUACGCUCCUCCAGCGGGAAAGCGGCGCCGGCCAGCGCAGAUCGCCCGCCCAGAUCUUCGGGGCAACCGGGACGCCCGACCUUGCGCAAGGCGGAGAGCACCCGUGUGAGGGGCUCAGCCCGGCCCAGCCUGUCCUUGCAGGGCAAGGCCACGUCGGUGUCGGAGCGUCUAGACUCAGCCUCUUCCACGUUGCCCCGCGCCAGCAGUGUCAUCUCCACGGCCGAGGGCAGCUCGCGGCGCACCAGCAUCCACGACAUGCUGUCCAAGGACAGCCGCCUGCCCGUGUCCGUUGACGCGUCACCUCCUGUUGCUACCAAGCCUGGAGUUCGUGCCCAUCCCGCACCCAGUGAGUACCACCCAAAGGGACCCUCUAGCGCCACCAUGCCCAAGUCGGUCAGCUUACCCUGCCAUAGCUCGGAUGACCCCGACCUCCCCACCCUUGAGUCUUUCCUUGGGCCCUCCUUCACUGCAGAGUCGGUCUUCAUGGACUCCAUCUUUAGCGAGUCGGCGGACAAAAACCUCCCCUUCCUCUCCCUCAACCCCACCCUGGUCAGCAACAUCAGCGGACCCCCCGUCGCUAAGUACACCUCCAGCCAUAACCAGACGACUCAGCAGAGCCAAUCAGAUGGUCUAAUGAGGUCCGGCCCCGCCUAUCAGGGUCCUGAGGACGCGGACCAUUUGGAUCCGGAGGAGAACCAGUCGCUGUGGUUCGAGUACGGGUGUGUGUGAAGGAUGGAGGGGGAGGUUCUGGCCCGCUGACACACACUCACAGAACUUGUGCAUGAAUAUUUAUCACAUCACUGUCUCUUGUGUGUGGGGGGGUUCUGUUUAUUCUGUUCUGUUGGUUCCAUGGUGCUGGGGGUGCCUUUAUUUGAUGUUAUUUUCAUUUCGGGGGGUCCUGGUGCCUGUUCCUCGCCAUCCCUGAUAUUGCUUUGAACCUGACUAUUGGCUAUUGUUUCAGUUGAUAGCCUGGUCCCAGCCAGCGGCUUUGAACACAACACCUGCAUGCCGGCCAUCUUUCUUUUUAAUGGAUUUGUUCUGUGGUUGUACGUUGUUUCCUUCGGAAGUGGGCUUCUUCUCUUGAUGGGGGCUGAAAUGAUGUUGGCUUCGUGGCUGAAGGGGGAAGUGAAAAUGAAGGAAAAGCAAGUUUGUAUGAAGGGAGGUCAUGAAAGUGUGCAGACGUGAUGCUGAGGAUUGUACACACACGCUAAUUUAUCAUCUCGCAAAGACGAGCACUGCUUCCUGUGCUAGACUUGUAGAUUGUUUGUUUAUUUAUUCCCUCUAGUUGUUGUUAUCAAUUUGUGUGUGUGUGUGUGUGUGUGUGUGUGUGUGUGUGUGUGUGCAGAUUUUACACUCAUAUUGCUUUGUCCCACAGAUGUGGAGGGCAGAAAGUCAAAAAGCAGGAGUGGCGAGCCCCAGCCGCCAAGCUGCUAAGCCCCGCCCACGUCUUCCCCUGCUGGGAGUGCGUGCAAGCGAGGCGGCCUUGGAGUGUCUGAAGCCGAGUAGAGAGCGGCGAUUCAAGCAGCGAGAGGGGAAAAAAAAAAGAUUGUAAAAUCCUCGUUUAUUUCUUCCCGCUCCUCCAGUAGAGAAAAUUCGCUUCCUUCUCCGUUUUGUUUUUCUUCCUUGAAUCAAGGAAACAGACGAAGAUGCCCCAGUUAUUCCCCCGCCCCUUUUUUUUUGUUUGUGGCAGACCACACUGCCAUGUGUUCUUCAGCGUGAUGGACUGUGAUGAUGCACGACACUUUCUAAAAAUAAAAAGACAAUUUAAGUGCCAAUGUUCAAAUCACAGCCAAAAACAAGAUAAAAAGGAGGAUGAUUCUGUUGGAACAACACAAUGGCGGCAUGGUGCAAGUCUUACAUGCUUCCAACUGGAGAAUGACAAUGUGCAUGGAGCAAUCAGUGGACCAAUCAGCACACUCAAAAUGACUGCAUAAGCCAUGACCGUUGCGUGUGUACUGUAUGUAUGUGUCAUCUUAACUCAUGUAACAAUAGCAGUAAGUAAGUCAGUUCUCAUCUUACUCUCACAGAAAGCACACACACACACACACACACACACAUUCUUUCUGUUAGCCAACCUUCAGGAGUGUCUAGCUGAACUUUGACCUGCAGAUCGUUAUUGUUGCUGUGAAGACGAACACAAUGGCGCUGAAGAGUUUUCCUCCUUUUCCACUUUUACAUAAAUCCAUGUGCUGUCAUUAAAAUUCAUCAAGAGCA